AGUGAACGCUGGCGGCGUGCCUAAUACAUGCAAGUCGAACGAUGAAGCUUCUAGCUUGCUAGAAGUGGAUUAGUGGCGCACGGGUGAGUAAGGUAUAGUUAAUCUGCCCUACACAAGAGGACAACAGUUGGAAACGACUGCUAAUACUCUAUACUCCUGCUUAACACAAGUUGAGUAGGGAAAGUUUUUCGGUGUAGGAUGAGACUAUAUAGUAUCAGCUAGUUGGUAAGGUAAUGGCUUACCAAGGCUAUGACGCUUAACUGGUCUGAGAGGAUGAUCAGUCACACUGGAACUGAGACACGGUCCAGACUCCUACGGGAGGCAGCAGUAGGGAAUAUUGCGCAAUGGGGGAAACCCUGACGCAGCAACGCCGCGUGGAGGAUGACACUUUUCGGAGCGUAAACUCCUUUUCUUAGGGAAGAAUUCUGACGGUACCUAAGGAAUAAGCACCGGCUAACUCCGUG
rnacentral:rRNA from 1 species